CCUAGUUUCUUCUCUUCUCCUUCUCUCUUCUCUCUCUCUCGUCCCUCAGACCUCUCCGCCACCCCCACAGUGGCUUAACCGGUCGAAAAUCGCCACCACCGGCCGACCACCUCCAAACCCCAUAGACCUUACACCAAUCUUCUCUUCUCUUCAUCCUCUACCCAUAUCCAAACCCCAAAUCCCUGAAAUCACCCUCAAUCUUACCAAAUCUACCCCUAAAUCAAAAAACUCUAGCCGCCGCCACCUCAAAUUUCGGCGAGAUAUAACUUUCACACCCCGUAAUACAUACAUAAACUAAUAUAUCUCGUCAAGAUCUAUCCUCUCCUACCCAUUUUACCCGAAAAAUCCAACUUCCGUCGCUGCUAACCUCUGUACUGCCUCCCUUGAACCACCCCAGACCUCCGGGCAUUCUUCCUUGCUGCAUUCAUACUGGCCUCAAGUGAGGUUUUGUUGUCGAUUUCAGUGAAACUAGUCUCCAAUUCUCCAGAGUCAUGGUUUCAAUGAAAAUCAACAAUAGAAGCUUGCUCGAGCCGUACCAUUGUCCCGUUGCCUAAUCGUCCCUACGCCACCACUAUUCGGAUACUCAAAUUGGGUAACUUUCAGACCAUGUAAACUCCUAAAAUCAAGUGUGGAAUGAAAGAUAUUGAUGCAGGGAAACAUUAGUAGUUUCAUUCGUUUAUUGUAAUUCAUUUUUACAUGCUCUUGAAUGUUGUAACAUUAUGACUAUACGUUAGUAACUAAACUGUGACAAGCAUCUUUAAUCUUGUAUCAAUAUUUUGGAUAUAAUUUCAUUUGGCCAUCAUUUGCCUGGUUGUGUGAAAGGAGCAUGUAUUAAACUUUGAGCUCAUGCAAGUAAUGUCUAGCCUUGAGUUAUUUUUUUA